UGUGGUGUGAGGCAGAAGGGGAAGAAGCUUUAGCAGAGCUAUUUCAGUUCUAGGAGCACGCAGUUCUGUCCUGUUCAUCCAGCAUACGGGAUAUAAACGGCAAUGGAAGAGCUGCAUUUGAGACUCUCGCACUCAACUCCCUCACCACCACCGCACCAGGGGACAGAGAACAAGGUGACAGCCAAGACAUUUUCAGCCUUGCAAGCUCCACAGACUGCCAGCUUCCAAUAUAACUUCUGUCACGUGAGAGUGUGCUGGCACACGAAAGACUCUUGGCCCAGCUUAGCUGUCUUCAUCAUCAGCUCCUCUGCUUGGGGAAAGAAAAAAGCCCAGCAAUGUUAACGCUCUGAAGAAUCAAGAAGUGUAUCCUUCUGCAUAUGAAUUGGAUGAACGUGAUUUACCCAGAAGUCAUGAUUUAGAACAAAUAAAACCACUAUUAAAACA